AUUGAACGCUGGCGGCAGGCCUAACACAUGCAAGUCGAGCGGAUGAAGGGAGCUUGCUCCUGGAUUCAGCGGCGGACGGGUGAGUAAUGCCUAGGAAUCUGCCUGGUAGUGGGGGAUAACGUCCGGAAACGGGCGCUAAUACCGCAUACGCCCUGAGGGAGAAAGUGGGGGAUCUUCGGACCUCACGCUAUCAGAUGAGCCUAGGUCGGAUUAGCUAGUUGGUGGGGUAAAGGCCCACCAAGGCGACGAUCCGUAACUGGUCUGAGAGGAUGAGCAGCCACACUGGAACUGAGACACGGUCAAGACUCCUACGGGAGGCAGAAGUGGGGAAUAUUGGACAAUGGGGGCAAGCCUGAUGCAGCCGUGCGGGGUGUAUGAAGAAGGCCUUCGGGUUGUAAAGUACUUUGAUUGGGGAGGAAGGGAGUAAAGUUAAUACCUUGUUUUAUUGACGUUACCAGAAAAAGAAGCACCGGCUAACUACGUG
rnacentral:rRNA from 1 species